rnacentral:rRNA from 1 species
CCUGGGGAGUACGGCCGCAAGGUUAAAACUCAAAUGAAUUGACGGGGGCCCGCACAAGCGGUGGAGCAUGUGGUUUAAUUCGAUGCAACGCGAAGAACCUUACCUACUCUUGACAUCCAGAGAACUUAGCAGAGAUGCUUUGGUGCCUUCGGGAACUCUGAGACAGGUGCUGCAUGGCUGUCGUCAGCUCGUGUUGUGAAAUGUUGGGUUAAGUCCCGCAACGAGCGCAACCCUUAUCCUUUGUUGCCAGCGGUUAGGCCGGGAACUCAAAGGAGACUGCCAGUGAUAAACUGGAGGAAGGUGGGGAUGACGUCAAGUCAUCAUGGCCCUUACGAGUAGGGCUACACACGUGCUACAAUGGCGCAUACAAAGAGAAGCGACCUCGCGAGAGCAAGCGGACCUCAUAAAGUGCGUCGUAGUCCGGAUUGGAGUCUGCAACUCGACUCCAUGAAGUCGGAAUCGCUAGUAAUCGUGGAUCAGAAUGCCACGGUGAAUACGUUCCCGGGCCUUGUACACACCGCCCGUCACACCAUGGGAGUGGGUUGCAAAAGAAGUAGGUAGCUUAACCUUCGGGAGGGCGCUUACCACUUUGUGAUUCAUGACUGGGGUGAAGUCGUAACAAGGUAACCGUAGGGGAACCUGCGGUUGGAUCACCUCCUUACCUUAAAGAA